AAGCUAUGAUGAUUUACGCUUAAGUGAUGGUUGGGGUCCAUCACACACUUCCGAUCUAAUUAGACGUUGGCGUUGCAGAGCUU